rnacentral:lncRNA from 1 species
AAUUAUUCAAUCUGUCUACAUGAUUCUCCUAAUUUCAACAAAACAGUAAGCCCAUAUGACUUAAGAUAUAAGUUUUAUAAAAUUUUCAAACAUCUGGCCCAAUAUCAAAUAAUACAUAAAAUUUAACCAGGGCCUAUUCACAAUAACUCAUAAUCACAAUAAGGGCUUACUAGUUUACCUACAGUUAAUUGCACAAUAAUUAAUUUAUAGCGUAGUGCUAACAAUAAGGCCCAAUUUAAAUACACAGCCCUAUAACUGCGGAGUCCAAAAAAAUCUGAUAACAGAAUAAUUUAUACAUUCAAAAUUAAAUAUCAAGAAUAUAAAGUUUACAUUUAUAACUCUGCGGAGAAGAUUGCAGAGCUUCAGUCGGAUCAACUGCUUCCUAGUACCUGGGAGGUUUGGAGAGAAGGGGGUGAGUUUUGCAACUCAGUGAAUAAUAAUAAAUAAUACACANN